rnacentral:rRNA from 1 species
GAUGAACGCUAGCUACAGGCUUAACACAUGCAAGUCGAGGGGCAGCAUGAACAAAGCUUGCUUUGUUUGAUGGCGACCGGCGCACAGGUGAGUAACACGUAUCCAACCUGCCCAUAACUCAGGGAUAGCCUUUCGAAAGAAAGAUUAAUACUUGAUAGUAUAUUUUAGCCGCAUGGUUUUAAUAUUAAAGAUUUAUUGGUUAUGGAUGGGGAUGCGUUCCAUUAGGUAGUAGGUGAGGUAACGGCUCACCUAGCCAUCGAUGGAUAGGGGUUCUGAGAGGAAGGUCCCCCACAUUGGAACUGAGACACGGUCCAAACUCCUACGGGAGGCAGCAGUGAGGAAUAUUGGUCAAUGGCCGGAAGGCUGAACCAGCCAAGUAGCGUGAAGGAUGACUGCCCUAUGGGUUGUAAACUUCUUUUAUAUGGGAAUAAAAGACAUUACGUGUAGUGUUUUGUAUGUACCUUAUGAAUAAGCAUCGGCUAAUUCCGUGCCAGCAGCCGCCGUAACAC